rnacentral:rRNA from 1 species
GUACAACUCUUAGCGGUGGAUCACUCGGCUCGUGAGUCGAUGAAAAACGCAGCCAGCUGCGAGAACUAAUGUGAAUUG